UCUCUUUCUCUCUCUCUCUCUUUUGUGCUGGUGUUGUGGGAGACAGCAACAACUUUGGUUGUUGUUGUGUUGUUUUUCUCUUGUGCUCUUGUUUUGUUUUUGACCGGUUUGAAAGGGAACAUGCAGGUGUUUGAGUUAAGGCUUGGUCACCGAAACAGGAAGGGACAGAGCUGGAAUGGUGGUAGGGUCGUAACGGUAUAAGGUGAUGUUGGGGGAGGUAGCAACUCUGGUUGCUGAUGUGUUUUCUAGUGAGAAGGGCAGGAAUGAGAGAGAGAAAAGAGGCCUUCGAAGGGNNNNNNNNNNNNNNNNNNNNNNNNNNNNNNNNNNNNNNNNNNNNNNNNNNNNNNNNNNNNNNNNNNNNNNNNNNNNNNNNNNNAUAUAUAUAUAUAUAAUUCUUUUUUUGCAUUAAUAUUUAUAACAUAAAAAUAUAAAAAAUGCAAAAAAGAAAUUUAAAGGGCAAAACAGUCAAUUCAAGUGCUCCAUGGACCAAAACUACAAAAAUUAGUUAAGUUUAGGACUAAAAACCUAGAAAAACCUUGAUUGUGGACAUUCUGUGCAAGCUGAAAACACUUUAGACCCUAUUCAAAGAUUUUAGCAAACCACAAGGACCAAAUUUGCAGUUUUGUCUUUAAAGAUUAAAAGAGUUUGUGAUUUGUGAACCGUUUUCAAUAUAUACAUUACAUGCUGUAAACUUGGUGCAACGUUUUUCUAUAUUUUAUAGACACUACAUUAAUUGAAUCUCUAGACAAUGGAAUGGUAAACAGGAGACCAAGUUAUAAGAAACGUAUUGGGCUUUUGUUGUGCUAAUUAGUGUUUUCUCAAUAUGUUUCAAAUGAUGAAUAAAUUAAAACAAGUCGAAUAAUUCAAGCAUCUUUCUGGGUUGAAAUUUAAAAUACAGAAUAUGUGAAGAAUAUAAUAAUAUAAAUAGGUAGGAGCAAACACCAAUUGAUAAAUAACCUAGCGUGUCAAGCAAAUAGUGUAAAAUUUGUGUUUUAUAGUUAAAAAAAGGUUGUAAUUCUCUUUCAAAGAAAAAGGUUGUAAUUAUACACUCUCUUAAUUUUAGAACUUUUUAAAAUUUCAAUUUUCACCUUUCAAGAAUUUAGUGUUACACAUUUUUCGUCCUUGUCGAAUAAAACAAUUCAAUCAUUACUCUUGAGACUUCAGAGAUUUCAGACUCAAUGGUUCAUCAAGAAUUGAAGUAUUUAUUUAUCUAACCUAAUAAAUAGAAACCAUUUUUUAUCAAAUGUUAUGUUUUUAUUUAAUUUGACACAUAUUAUUUUCUAAGAUAUUUUGAAUUUUUUUUCAUUUGUCGUUUUCUUGUAUUUUUUAUUUUUCUUAAAUUUAAAAAACACAUUUUGGUAAGUUUUAUAUAUAUAAGGUAUAUCAUUAUAUUAAAUAUCAUAACAAAUGCCCUUUAAGUGUUUUUUCCUUUUUUUUUUCAAAUUUCCUACAUUAUACUGAAUUAAUUACUUUAUUCAUUAUAUCAUUUAUAUUUAUGUAAACUUAUUGCUUAAAAUUUUUUUUUUAAUAAAUUCGUGUCAUAUACGGGUCUUACACCUAGUAUGGAUAUAAUAUAUCAUCUUUAUUUCAUAUUAUACCACUUCUAAAAUGAAAAAAAAAAUGUCAUCUCUCGCAUAAUUCAUCGUCAUUAUAUGAAGUUUAAGAUUUAAAUUCAAGAUUUCAACCUUAUUAUAAAAGGGUUAGUUUCAAACACAGAAGUGCAUAACCAAAUUAUAGCACAUAUAUACCAACAUAGCCGGGCAUGUUCAUAACUAAACAUACAUAUGUUUGAACAUGAGCAUGUAUGUUCAUAUUAUGAACAUAUAUAAUAUGUGGUUUUGUAGUUAGGUGGUAUUAUAUAUAUAUAUNNNNNNNNNNNNNNNNNNNUAUAUAUAUAUAUAUAUAUAUAUAUAGUAGUACUAUGAAUUAAAAUGGACGAAACCACUUGAGCAAAGCCAUGACUAAAAACUACCUCUAUGCUUGUUUGACAGAAGCUAAGGAGACCAGAAAGUAAGAAGGACAUAGGCAUGAGAGAAGAUCCAGGUAGACUCCAACAAAUGGUGUACAUGUGCAUAUUGCAUGUCCUAAUAAAACAAAGUGCAUUCAAAAAGUUAAAGUUCAAAGUAUAUGCCAGGGAAGAUCCUCUUCUCACCCACCCCCACCUUUACUUCAAAAGCCACAAACAAACCAAUUUCUCUCUCUCUCUCUCUCUCUCUCUCUCUCUCUCUCUCUCAAAUGGGCACAGAAGCAGCAGCAGGAGGUGGUGGGAACGAUGAUGAUGAAAGCUAUGAAGAGAUCUAGUCAUAAUGGUUAUUAGACACCAUUAGGGCAACUAUUACCUUUGGCAAAGUGUGUUAUAUAUAUACUGGUUCAAGAAAGAAACAAAUGUCCAUAUAAGAUGACUUUUUGUAGAGGAAAAUAAUUAAUGUGGUAACUAUUUCCUCAUUUUUUCUUUUCCUUCUUAUAUGUCUCCUUCUGCAUCACUUGUUUGCAUGAAACGUAGGGAUGCUUGUAUGGGUUUUGCUUAAAUAAAGUUUUUGCUUGUGAGUUUUAUUUUAUGUAUUUAAUUAGUCGUUGUUAUAUACUCCAACCUUUAUAGCUAAAUAAUAAUGACUAUUGAGCCUUUGUGAUAUUAGUUAUGGGUUCAUUUGUAUUUAAGCCGAGAAAUUGGAUUAAUUUGAACAAAAAAGUUAGCAUAAACUUUAUGAAACAAUAGUGUAUGCUACACUUUGUUGCGUUAUAUUAUACCACACUUAUCCUAUGAAGAACCUACAUUUGAAUAAUAGGGUAGAAUAGAAAUUAACAUGCAAAACGUUUUUUCCUACUUACAUGAUGGAAGAUAUGGC
rnacentral:lncRNA from 1 species